AACAGGAUUAGAUACCCUGGUAGUCCACGCCCUAAACGAUGUCAACUGGUUGUUGGGAGGGUUUCUUCUCAGUAACGUAGCUAACGCGUGAAGUUGACCGCCUGGGGAGUACGGCCGCAAGGUUGAAACUCAAAGGAAUUGACGGGGACCCGCACAAGCGGUGGAUGAUGUGGUUUAAUUCGAUGCAACGCGAAAAACCUUACCUACCCUUGACAUGCCAGGAAUCUUGCAGAGAUGUGGGAGUGCUCGAAAGAGAACCUGGACACAGGUGCUGCAUGGCCGUCGUCAGCUCGUGUCGUGAGAUGUUGGGUUAAGUCCCGCAACGAGCGCAACCCUUGUCAUUAGUUGCUACGAAAGGGCACUCUAAUGAGACUGCCGGUGACAAACCGGAGGAAGGUGGGGAUGACGUCAGGUCAUCAUGGCCCUUAUGGGUAGGGCUACACACGUCAUACAAUGGCCGGGACAGAGGGCUGCCAACCCGCGAGGGGGAGCUAAUCCCAGAAACCCGGUCGUAGUCCGGAUCGCAGUCUGCAACUCGACUGCGUGAAGUCGGAAUCGCUAGUAAUCGCGGAUCAGCUUGCCGCGGUGAAUACGUUCCCGGGUCUUGUACACACCGCCCGUCACACCAUGGGAGCGGGUUCUGCCAGAAGUAGUUAGCCUAACCGCAAGGAGGGCGAUUACCACGGCAGGGUUCGUGACUGGGGUGAAGUCGUAACAAGGUAACC
rnacentral:rRNA from 1 species